rnacentral:rRNA from 1 species
AUUGAACGCUGGCGGCAGGCCUAACACAUGCAAGUCGAGCGAGCGGCGGACGGGUGAGUAAUGUCUGGGAAACUGCCUGAUGGAGGGGGAUAACUACUGGAAACGGUAGCUAAUACCGCAUACCAUCAGAUGUGCCCAGAUGGGAUUAGCUAGUAGGUGGGGUAACGGCACACCUAGGCGACGAUCCCUAGCUGGUCUGCGAGGAUGACCGGCCACCCUAGAACUGAAGAACGGUCCAGACUCCUACGGUAGGCAGCAGUGGGGAAUAUUGAACAAUGGGCGCAAGCCUGAUGCAGCCAUGCCGCGUGUAUGAAGAAGGCCUUCGGGUUGUAAAGUACUUUCAGCGGGGAGGCGUUACCCGCAGAAGAAGCACCGGCUAACUCCGUGCCAGCAGCCGCGGUAAUAC